rnacentral:rRNA from 1 species
GACGAACGCUGGCGGCGUGCUUAACACAUGCCAGUCGAACGGGAUCCGGGCUUUCGGGUUUGGUGAGAGUGGCGAACGGGUGAGUAACACGUGAGUAACCUGCCCCCUACUUUGGGAUAACGUCGGGAAAUCGGCGCUAAUACUGGAUAUUCUUGCUGCAUCGCAUGGUGUGGUUUGGAAAGGGUUUCUGGUGGGGGAUGGGCUCGCGGCCUAUCAGCUUGUUGGUGGGGUGAUGGCCUACCAAGGCUUUGACGGGUAGCCGGCCUGAGAGGGUGUCCGGCCACACUGGGACUGAGACACGGCCCAGACUCCUACGGGAGGCAGCAGUGGGGAAUAUUGCACAAUGGGCGCAAGCCUGAUGCAGCGACGCCGCGUGAGGGAUGACGGCCUUCGGGUUGUAAACCUCUUUCAGUAUGGAACAAGGAUCCUUCUUUUGGGGGGUUUGAGGGUACGUGCAGAAGAAGCGCCGGCUAACUACGUG